UCCCCUAGUAACUGCGAGUGAAGCGGGAAAAGCUCAAAUUUAAAAUCUGACGGCCUCCGGCCGUCCGAGUUGUAAUCUAGAGAAGUGUUGCCCGCGCUGGACCGUGUACAAGUCUCCUGGAAUGGGGCGUCAUGGAGGGUGAGAAUCCCGUCUUUGACACGGACUACCAGGGCUUUGUGGUAUGCUCUCAAAGAGUCGAGUUGUUUGGGAAUGCAGCUCAAAAUGGGUGGUAAAUUCCAUCUAAAGCUAAAUAUUGGCGAGAGACCGAUAGCGAACAAGUACCGUGAGGGAAAGAUGAAAAGAACUUUGGAAAGAGAGUUAAACAGUACGUGAAAUUGCUGAAAGGGAAACGCUUGAAGUCAGUCACGUUGGCCGGGGAUCAGCCUCGCAUUUGCGUGGUGUACUUUCUGGUUGACGGGUCAGCAUCAAUUUUGAUCGCUGGAGAAAGGCUUGGGGAAUGUGGCAGCUUCGGCUGUGUUAUAGCCCCUUGUCAUAUACAGCGGUUGGGAUUGAGGAACUCAGCACGCCGCAAGGCCGGGUUUCGACCACGAUCGUGCUUAGGAUGCUGGCAUAAUGGCUUUAAGCGACCCGUCUUGAAACACGGACCAAGGAGUCUAACAUGCCUGCGAGUGUUUGGGUGGAAAACCCGAGCGCGUAAUGAAAGUGAAAGUUGAGAUCCCUGUCGUGGGGAGCAUCGACGCCCGGACCAGAACUUUUGGGACGGAUCCGCGGUAGAGCAUGUAUGUUGGGACCCGAAAGAUGGUGAACUAUGCCUGAAUAGGGUGAAGCCAGAGGAAACUCUGGUGGAGGCUCGUAGCGAUUCUGACGUGCAAAUCGAUCGUCAAAUUUGGGUAUCAGGGGCGAAAGACUAAUCGAACCAU
rnacentral:rRNA from 1 species